rnacentral:rRNA from 1 species
GAUGAACGCUGGCGGCGUGCCUAAUACAUGCAAGUCGAGCGAACAGAUAAGGAGCUUGCUCCUUUGACGUUAGCGGCGGACGGGUGAGUAACACGUGGGUAACCUACCUAUAAGUCUGGGAUAACUUCGGGAAACCGGAGCUAAUACCGGAUAACAUUUGGAACCGCAUGGUUCUAAAGUGAAAGAUGGUUUUGCUAUCACUUAUAGAUGGACCCGCGCCGUAUUAGCUAGUUGGUAAGGUAACUGCGUACCAAGGGAACGAUGCGUAGCCGACCUGAGAGGGUGAGUAGCCAGCCUGGGAGUGAGACACGGUACAGACGCACACGGGUGGCACCAAUAGGCAAUCGUCCGCAACAGGCGAAAACCUGACGGAGCGACGCCGAGUCAGAGACGGCGGGUUUCGGCGCGUAAAAAUCUGUUAUUAGGGAAAAACAGACGUGGAAGUAACUGUGCACGUCUUGACGGUAACUGAUCAGAAAGCCACGGCUAACUACGUG